AUGGAUCAUUAUGUAUUGCUGCAUAAAAUCGAAGUCCUAACCUUGUUUUACUUUUCUAAAAGGGAUGGCUACAACGAUUUCAAUACAUUCUACAUACAGGCUGCAUCUGGUACUAAAGGUGGCUCUAGUGGUUCCCCUGUUGUUGAUUGCCAAGGAAGAGCUGUUGCACUGAAUGCAGGAAGCAGCAGUUCCAGUGCUUCGGCCUUCUACCUUCCAUUAGACGGUAAUAUAGUACUUCCUCAUGCUCACAGGAAGUUCUGGGAUCAUAGAAACCAGGUAGUUAGAGCACUCAAUCUGAUACGUGGCUGUUGGGCACAUUUGGUAGCAAGCCAGAAUCUGCUUAUAUUCCUCGUGGUACUCUUCAGGUGA
rnacentral:rRNA from 1 species